rnacentral:rRNA from 1 species
UCGCCCUUAGAGUUUGAUCCUGGCUCAGGAUCCUCGCUGACAGAAUGCUUAACACAUGCAAGUCGAUUCGAUUUACCUUCGGGUAUUGAGGAUGGCGGACGGGUGAGUAACGCGUAAGGAACUUGCCUCUUGGACUGGGACAACUGUUGGAAACGACAGCUAAUACCGGAUAUUAUGAGAUUCUCGCAUGAGAAACUUAUGAAAGCUAUAUGCGCCAAGAGAGAGCCUUGCGUUCCAUUAGCUAGUUGGUGGGGUAAUGGCCCACCAAGGCGACGAUGGAUAGCCGGCCUGAGAGGGUGAACGGCCACAAGGGGACUGAGACACGGCCCUUACUCCUACGGGAGGCAGCAGUGGGGAAUAUUGGACAAUGGGCCACAAGCCUGAUCCAGCAAUUCUGUGUGCACGAUGAAGGUCUUCGGAUUGUAAAGUGCUUUCAGUUGGGAAGAAGAAAGUGACGGUACCAACAGAAGAAGCGACGGCUAAAUACGUGCCAGCAGCCGCGGUAAUACGUAUGUCGCAAGCGUUAUCCGGAUUUAUUGGGCGUAAAGCGCGUCUAGGCGGAAAAAUAAGUCUGAUGUUAAAAUGCGGGGCUCAACUCCGUAUUGCGUUGGAAACUGUUUUUCUAGAGUACUGGAGAGGUGGGCGGAACUACAAGUGUAGAGGUGAAAUUCGUAGAUAUUUGUAGGAAUGCCGAUGGAGAAGUCAGCUCACUGGACAGAUACUGACGCUGAAGCGCGAAAGCGUGGGGAGCAAACAGGAUUACAUACCCUGGUAGUCCACGCCGUA